UUCCGGUAAUGCCAUUCUCAAAGAGCGAGGCCAGACUUAUGAAGCAAUUCUUCUUCUCCAGUUGCAGUGGCUGGUCCCUGUUAAUAUGGUCUUCAUUAUUGGAGUUAUCGUACUGAUUGUCUACAAAAGGAAGAAAGCUUCAAUGAAUGAAACAACAAACUCCCGACCAACCAACCCUGAGAACGUGAUAUGCAGCAACACUUCUGUGUAUGAAGACAACACCUACCAGAGCCUUGAGAUGGGCACCAUGGAACCGGAGUACAACCAGCUAUAACUCUUUUACAUAAAACAUAAAUCAAACAAAUAAAUCCAACAAAAUACCAUUUAACUUCAAAAUAAAUGUUCUUAUUUCAACCAACUGUAAAUAAAGAUGUGCUAAAUAGAUUUAGACACUUUGGAGCGUAGAAACUGGGCAUUGACAUGGUAAUGGAAGGCUAUUGGUUCUGUCUAUAUCCAUGGUUUUCAGAAUUAUGAAAAAUUAGGAUGUUGCCGUGGCAAUUAACCAUUUAAAACUCUUAAAACUCUUUUUUGAGCAGGAAAAAGCCCUCAAAAUGUUGAAAAAUGUUGUAACAGGAACCUGAAAGUGAAUAGUAGAGAUCAGAUGUAAUAGAUAACCUUAUGUCAUGCCAGUCACUAUUUCAUAUUUGUACUUGUUUGUC